CCGCAGGGCCCGGUAUGUUAGGUCGUGACAAUUUCUCUUGAUGAAAAGUAAAGAUAAAAAGUUUUGCAUUUGGCUCACACGGAUAGGUCUGAAGGCGUUUCAACAAAAUCAAGAACAACCCUCGUACCUGAAAAAAUGUUGGUAUUCCUGCAAAGAUAGCUAGCCAUCAAAUGAACCCAAUGACCAUUUCAAAGCAAAAGCGAAAACCAUAAGUAAAUAGGAACAUAAUAAAGUAGAUUCUAGCAUGACAUGCAUUUAUACAAACACUUAUUCUACCAAAACUACAAUUAUCAAUCGAUUUAAUCAAUCGAAAAUAAUUUAUACAAAAAUAAAUACAAAUCAAUUGAUACUAGCCAGUUUAUAGAAAUAAAGACGAAAAAUAACUUAAUUAUACAAAUACACGUGAAUUAUACAAAUGAGGUGUGAAUUAUAAAAACGAGGUUGUCCGUAGCAGCUUAAACUAUAGCUACAACCCGUAAAUAUGCAAACUAUAACUGAGCCUAAUUAAGUUUUCUAUAAUGGCUAUUUGUAAAAAAAAAAUCCCUAUUUUAAAUUGUUUUUACCUUUCAUCUCUUAUAAGUGACCCCAUAGAGAGUAUUAGGGACAAGUUUUUUUUAAUCAAUUUAAGGAACAUAUUACAUUGCUUGAGUUAUUAAAAAACAAAGAAUUAACAACCACAAUAAAAAGUAGUAUCGAAAAGGGUACAUUUAUGGACAAGCUUCUCAACUCAUCGCUAAAUUUGGUCAGUAUUAACCCUUUUUCUUGUAGGGUUGGAAUCAUAAAGAAGUGUAGAAAAUAUAACGUUAUAUUUUUAUUUUAUUUUUUCGUAGAAAAUGGUUAAUUAUUUGUCUAAAAAUCAUCCCUAAUUUAAUAUUGCAUAUUUUGUGACAAAACAAUGAUCGUCACUAAAUCACAUGUUGAUUAGAGACAAUAAAAUAAUCAUCACUAAUUGCUUAUUUAUUAGUGAAAAAAACUAAGCUCACAAAUAAGUAGAAAAUUUUGUGGCUAAAGCUUACACCCUUUAACUAUGAACUAUAAUUUGUCGUUGUUGUCACAAGUUAUUUUUUAUGACGAAACCUUUUUCGUAUAAAAAAAUAUAACUAUUUUAAGGCAAACAAUAGUUUGUCACAAAUUGAAUGCACUAUUAGCGACAAUAUUUUGUGUCACUAAUAACUUAAAAUUCGUUGCUAAUGAUACCUAAUAAAUGGCACAAAAUUAUUUUUUGGUGGGAAACUUUAGUGGACAAAAAAUUGCUACGAAAUUAAAUCUUUCGUCACUAAAAGUAUAUUGCUUCAUGAAUUUAAACACCAAAUGAAAGUUUUGUCACAAACAAUGAAUAAUUAGUGAUGAAUUUUGUGUUAUACCUAAUAAUUUCGCAGCUAAAUAUCACAUUUGUUGUAGUGCGACCACGUGCGAAAGCGAAACCAGAUACUCCCGAAUGAGGCAGUACGCAUGCGAACGUGCAUCCCCUAGAUGCCAUCCGUUCAUGCUUAAAAGCUUUUUGUAUCCCAAAGCGUUUGUGGCAACGUAGAAACUUUCUCCACUAUAUUAUAAAUUGUGGCAAACAUGUCCCUCCUAUUGUUUUAUAUGUAUAAAAUUAAUUAAAAAUUCCAAAAAAUACAAAAAAUAUAUAUUAUGGUACUCCUUAAAGUUCCAUGGAAAACCUCUACCGCAUAAAAAAAGACUCAUACAAUUUUCACUCUUAAUACCCAUAUGGAAACUCAUACAAUUUUUCAACCUAAAUACCCUCACUAUUGAAGCCUAUAGAAAUUUAACCUUAAAUACCAUAACUUUUGAAGAAUGCACAAAGGGAAAGAGAAUUGAGAUCUGCACCUACUUCUUUGUUAUCAAUCGGUGAUUUUGAUAAUUGGAGAUUACCUAGAGAGGAACAAAGAUAACCCAAAUUUUUUCAAGUACUUGGCUUGAUUGUGUAGAUCAUAGUGAAUGAGUGUUAUUUUUAUGAAUUUCUUGGGUCUUAUUAUUCUUUAAAUCAAUUUAUUUAAGACUGUAAUUUAAUAACUAGUGUAAUAUAUGAUUAGUAUGUAGAAGGUCCUUAAAUUUCUUUUCCAUCUAAAAUUGAGUGGCCAUUGAAAGUCUCUUUUCAUGGUUGCAAUGGAUGGAGGGAUCAACAAAUAAAAUGGAAAUGAUGGAUUCAAACGAUUGAGUGUAUCCAUCACCCCGUAUGGAAAGCUGCAGGUAUUUAUGGAGCUAUCAAGAGUUCAGUUUAUAGAGUCCAGUCAGAUCAUCAUUUGAUUUUUGGGUUGGUAGAAAGGUGGUCUUGUAAGACUAACAUUUUUGUGUUUCAGUGGGGGUGAAGCUAUUGUUAGUCUUGAAGAUAUGAUGAUUUUGGGAGGCUGCUCUGGUUUGGGUGACUCAAAACAGAGAAGCCUCCCAAAAUCAUCAUAUAUUCAAGAGUAAUAGUAGCUUAACACCACGAAAAUACAAAAAUUGUUAGUCUCACAAUACCACCUUUCUACCAACCCAAAAAUCAAAUUUGGAUCUAUUUGGACUCUAUAAAUUGAACUCUUGAUAGCUCCAUAAAUCCCUACAGUUUUUUAUACACGGUGAUGGAUAGACUUAAUCAUUUGAACCCAUUCUUUCCAUUUUAUUUAUUGAUCCCCACAUCCAUUGCAACCAUGAAAUGAGACUUUCAAUGGACACUCAGAUUCAGAUGGAAAAGGAAUUGAAGGAUUUGUACAAACAUCACUCAUUCACUAUGAUAUGCACAAAUCAUGCCAACUACUUGAAAAAGUUUGGGUCAUCUUUGUCCCUCUCUAGAUAAUCUCUAGUUCUCAAAUCUUUGAUUGAUAACGAAGCGGUGGGCACAUAUCUCAAUUUUCCCUCUUCCUAAUCUGGAUUCAUCAAUAAGUGGGGUAUUUAAGGUUAAAUGUCUACCGUCUUCAAUAUUUAGGGUAUUUAUGGUGAAAAAUUUAUAAGUUUCCAUAUGGGUAUUUAUAAUGAAAAUUUUAUGAGUUUUUUUUUAGGCAGAAGAGCUUUUCCAUGGAACUUUAAGAACUACCAUAAUAUUAUUUUUUAGUUUUAUUUUUAAAUUCUAAUUAAUUUUAUACAUUUUAAAACUAAAUAGUAGUGACAUAUUUGCCACCAAUUAUCAUAUAGUUGUGGGACAAUUAUAUACUUCAUAGAUCACUAUAACUGAUAUAUUGUUUGACUAUCAAGUCCGAAACUUAACAUCACACUAUUUAUGAAGGGAAACAACAAUAUUUUAAGUUAUUUUGAGUUAAUUGUGAAGAUGUUCCUUUAAUCUAGCUCCUUAAUGAUAUCGCACUUGUAUUGAUUUCAUGCUUCUUAUAAAAGGAAAAUAUACUAGCGUUUGUUGACGACCACGUAUAUAAUUGGUAGGCCACACAAACAUUUAAGAAGUUACAUAUUAAUUUUAACCUUGGAAUUGAGCUUAAAGAAAUAAGUUCCAAUUUCUAUUGAAUUCCAUAUGUGUGGAAUGAGUAAAUGAUGAGAAAGAAUUGCGAGGCUCAGUUGAUGACACCAUCCAUUGGGUAAGGUUAUAAAGUGUUUUUUAGUAAGGAAUGAGACUCAAGGAUGAAAUCGGAACUGUAGUGAGGGGCAUGUUGUUAGGCAGGAGAAUAAUUUAGAAUUGCUUACAAAAAGAUAUACAAACUAUCUUAUGCAAUCUUACCAUACAUUUCUAUACGAGGUUGUUGUCACCACUGAAACCCCAAACCUCCUCGUCAUGUUGAAGAAACUUUACUAAUCACACCAAGUAUUCAAUUACAUUACCGGAGCAAGUAAUUAGAUAAUUUACACACUAAUUUUUUUAUUAUUCAUUUAUAAUUAUACAAAACCUUCCUUCUACUCUGAUCUUAUUUAAUAAUAUUAUUAGUAUCUUCCACAUAUAACAAAUAAUAUAUAUUUAGAAAGAGAAAAGGGAAUAGAUAUGAAGGUUAUUGAAUUUAAAACAUAUUAAAAUUAACACUUAGGAGUAUUUAUCAUGACAACUACUAAUCAAUGCGGAUCAAACUUUCAAUCACUUCAGAUAUUCACUAACACUCUAAUGUUCCAUAUUAUCCUUCAUUUUAAGUGUUGAACACCCCUUUAUUAUUUUUAUGAUCAGUACAUUAUUAUACUGAAGAAAUCAAAAAGUAGAGAAAUACCAUAAAGGCUAUACAAGCAAAAUAGAGAGAAGAGAUUAGAUAUGGGCAAAGUUUGAGCAAAAUUUUUUCCAUUAAAGCUCAACAUGAUUUUGUAUCUAAAGUGCCAUAUUUUAUGGAUAAAAAUGAAUUGGAUUUUUAGAUGUACCUAUGCACAAAAAAUAAAGAGUACUCAAGGGUUCUUCCAAAACAUCGUUUGAGUGCAAUUUCAAUAAUGGACAUCCCAAUCAACAAUAGAUAUAUUCUUAAUGACAUCCAUAGUUGGUUGUAUGUCACCAUUGGUUUCUACUACAUUACUCACAUUCUAGCAUUUCUUGUCAUAAGUAUAAUUUAUUGUUAUUUGCACCAACAGAUCUUAUGGGGGUUUGUUGGGGUAUGUUUGUUGCUGUGUAUCUUUCAGAAUUAUGGGGGCUAAUUAGGUUAUUGAUUGAUUAUAUAAUUAUGUAUCUUCCAUUGAUUUGUUAUUUAGCUAUAUAAAUGGUUUAGAUUGACUAUAUAUUGGUCCAUUUGGUUUUAGCUAGGUUGGAUUAGCCUCUUGUCCACUAUGAGGUGUUAUGGUGGUUACCAAUGUUGUAUCUUCGGUUGGUUGGCUUCCAUAAUGAACCCUUGUAGUGGAUAGGUUAUUUAGAUAUCACCUUCAGUUAUGUUCCUUCGUCUCUGUCUCUUUCUUAUUCUAUUCUUCUACCUUGUCUCUAUUUACAUUACUUGUGCAAUAUCUCUUCUUUAGCUUCUUAUACUAUACUUGCUUUCCUUCCUUAUAAUUUAUGCUUGAUUUAUCUUUUGAGCUCCAUCGGCCUAUGCCUAAUGAGUACCUUUUAUUUGUAUUCAUACUACACUUCUACACCAUGCAUAUCAUAUUAUGACUUCUUUCCAUUAAGGUAUACCUUGUGUGGGGCAACUUUUGGAUUCAGAGACUGCGGUGAACCCCUGAAAUUUGGAUUUGCUAAUUUCCCUUUAUUUUAACUAGUACUAGGCUUUAUUGUUCUUUCACAUAUGGUUCCGUAUAUAUAUUUUUAUUUGUCCUUGUACUCCUAUUUUGAUUAGAAGCUUGAGUACUGAAUGAAACCAUAUCUUUUUUCAUAUAUUUUGGUCAUCAUUCCUUCUAUUCCCUCUAUUCUAUUUUUGUAAUGACCCUCACAGUAAAAUCUAUUUUCUUGCAUGCUUUUACUGCUUUUCCCCCAACCAUAGAUUCCUUGAAGCUUUUGUGUCUUGCUGGAUUGAGUGGGAUGCUUCCCGAGGUGGUCAAGAGAGUUUUGAGCAAGUCAGAGAUUAGAUACUCAACUCAAUAUAAAGCAACAAUAAAAGAUGCAAUAUAUAUGGAAAGCUGUAAACUAUAGAUAACAACUCAAUGUAUUGAAAGAAAUACAAUAAUACUCAGUAUGUAUAUAAAAAUACAAUAUAAUUAUGUGGGAGAUUCUCUAACUGACAACCACCACUAUGAGCCUAAAUGGUGAUACAAUGUCUUUACCAUCAUGCUGCCAGACUGUCCUAUACUUUGCAAUCAUAUAGAACUACUUAACUUAGUGGAUCAACUAACUUAACUUAUGUGGUCAUCUAAAAAGUAUAACCUAUUAAUACCCAUGAUGGCUAUAUGGUUUAUGGAGACUUGAGUUAAUAUGAACUCGCAUCCCCAUAUCGGUGCUCAUUACUACUCCCAAAUAUAUACUUAGCUCAUAUGUUUUUAAAACAACUUCUUUCUUUUGUUUGAGAUAAUUACUCAAAACUUAGCUUUAAAUCUCUCUUGGAAUCGAUGUUCCCUUUCUUGCUCAAAACUCUUUUGGAAAUCUCAGUUUCCUCUCAUCUUAAAUGUGAAAACAUUUACUCUUGGGAAUACUUAGUUCUCAUAUAUCAUUUUAAAGAAAAUGAACUUUACUCUUACUCUUUACUCAACUUCAAAGCUUAAGUCUUAAAACAAAGUUUAAACAUUUGUAAAAGACUUCGAAAAAUAUGGUUCAUGCCGAAUUAGGGACAUGAACGACUCAAUGCAAGGUUUCCAAUAACCAUAGAUCGAACUCAACACUUGGAACUCAAGAACUUCAAUGAUAGUACUCAUUUCCAAAAUGCUCAACUCAAAGGGUUCAUAUGGAAUUAUGAGCAUGAACUUCUCAACUCAAGGACUCAAAGAUACUUCUCAUCUCAAGACUAAUCGACUUAUAGUGUUCAUGCAGAAUUAUUGUCAUGAAAUAUUCAACUCAAGGACUCAAAGAUACUUCUCAAAAGGGAUUAGGAACUCAACACUUAAAGGCUUAGAACUUGAAGAUACCACUUCUCUGAAGGAUACUCAACUUACGACGUUCAUGUGGAGUUAUGGGCAUGAAACAACUCGACUCGAUGAUCUACAUAACAUUAUGGAACUCAUGUAUAACUCUACUUCUCAUUCUCUGAAUUACUUCCUCAAAACUUAGUUCAAAUCGAUAGUUGAUCUCAAGGAUUAACAAUUGAACUCAAAGGCUUUCUUGAACUCUACUCUUAACUCUCUCUUGAAAGUGAAUUAUGAAUUCAAGAGUUAUGCUUCAUGGUAUGAAGGAUCUUGUAAUGAUAAAGUAGACUCAUGAAUACAUUCUCCUCACUCGCACUCACUUGCUCUAGUCUUGAAACAAGUUAUUAGAAAUUGUAGAAGACCCCUCAAAAGGACUUAAAGGACUUUCUUAGAAUGUUCGAAAGAAUUCUCAAAAACUUAACUCUUAACUCUACUUUGAACUUGAAUUAAGGAUUCAAGGUUGUGAUUUGUGAUAGGAAAGUUCUCAUAAUGUUUAGGAUUGAUUUUAGAUAGCUAAACAUGGGAAAAGAUAAAAAAAUUCACUGCUUGGAAGCUAGUCUGCGAUGCGGAGACGCAUUAAAAUAAUUGGUUGCGAAAUAACUUUUGAGGAAGAGAGGUCUGUGACCUCUCCGCAACGCGAAUACAACUUUAUGAAAUGGGGAGGAAGGUCCGUGACGUGGAGCCAAGUUCCAGAUUUGCCCGACUUUUCUCUUCUUCGUUUUCUAACCCCAAAUCGCCUAAAUUCAAUUCUUUUGCUCAACUUUUUUUACAUUCAGAUAACCAUCACAUGUACACAAGAAUCUAACUCAAAACUACUCUAUAAAUCGAAAAAAUAAUAUCAAGAACUCCUAAAUCUCAGCCCAAUUCAAGAAUGAAAGCAAAUUCAAGAACACAUAUCAAUAACAUCAGAUUUUCAACUUUCUAGAACGAACUUAACGCUGAAAUUUACAUGAUUGGCGUGUGGGUGAACAAACCCAACACUAUGGAAGCUUACAUACCUGAAAGAACCAUCUUCUUGAAGNNNNNNNNNNNNNNNNNNNNNNNNNNNNNNNNNNNNNNNNNNNNNNNNNNNNNNNNNNNNNNNNNNNNNNNNNNNNNNNNNNNNNNNNNNNNNNNNNNNNNNNNNNNNNNNNNNNNNNNNNNNNNNNNNNNNNNNNNNNNNNNNNNNNNNNNNNNNNNNNNNNAAAUUUAGAUGACCUCCUAAGGGUUUUUAGGACUAAAAUACCUUUAAAGAAAUAAAUAAAACGAGCUGGGAGUCGUAAUUAUUUUUCACCAGGCAGUGAGGUCCGUAUUGGCUCAGCGUCGCGGAGCCGUUGCGGAGCCAUCGUGAAGCUGCUGCUAGGUUUGCGCGUCGUUAGUAAAUCAGUUAUAACGUUUUACUCAGAUCUCGAAAUUUGGCAAACUCGGUGGUGUUGGAAAGAGGACUCGAAGGGCUUCAAUUUUCUAUCAUGGAGUGCACCUAACACAUCUUGUACUAGGAGUUAUGGUCAUUUGAAGUCGACCCAAAACUUAAGAAAAACUUAGGAAUGACUAGAAUGAACUCUCUUCAGUUCUUCUUGGAACUGAAGGUUCUACAUCUAGUGACCUUAAUACUCAAGAAAUUUUAAAUUCCUUGCAAAAAUCUCACUCACUACGAAGAACGGUUCGAGUCUUAGCUCAAAAAUUUUCUGGGGUGUUACAAAUGCGCUCGGAUGAGAAUUUCAUUAGUGUGGUUAGCUCUGAAAUACCGAGUUUGUUCUGGAGUGACCUUUGGUUUGGGUCUCGAGGUGUUCGGGAUGAGUUUGUCGUUAUACCCCAUUUUAACUCAAGUCAAAUAGUGUACAACAUAUCAAUGAUUCCUAAAUUAUUUAACUUAAGGAGUUACCUCCUAAUUAUUUUUUAGGUAAAUUAGGACACUUAAAUAUUUAUUUAAGUAAUGCUAUAAUUAACUUCAAUUAAUGGUCUACUUAACUUAUGUGAUUCUAAAUAAGGGUUCAAGUUUUCCAAAAGUGACGAGAUUAAGCAUCAUUUAAGAUCUAUUAAAUAUUGUUACCAACAAAACUUAGGUUGACAAAAAUAUAUGAUUUGAUUAAAAAUAUGACGUAAGUGAAAAUGAAAAUAUAACUUAAGAAGACAUUAAUAGUAUUUUAAGAGAAGUGCGAUGUAAAGAAAUUAUUUAGGCUUCAAAAAUUCACUAAGUAGAUAAAUAGUAUAUAUAUGAAUACUUCUACUAUAAGUUAAUGAAAGCCCUCAUUCGGACAGUUAAUUGCAGAAAAUAUUUUUUAUGUAGUUGAGUUCAUAAAAUAACAAAGCAAUGAGUCAAACCAUCCUUUAUUAGCAUUGAACUAAAAUUGAUUCAAGCCAUCUCUACUAAAAAGGCGAAUUGUUUAUACAGCUUGACCAAAAAUACAAUAAUAUGUAAUUAGAUACAAAUUUAGUCUUAGGAAAAUGAGAAAACAGUAAUAAGCUUACUCAAGAUUUAAAGUAAUAAUCUUUCCAAAUUCUAAAAACGGGCAAAAUUAAUUUGAAAACCCUACAAUUUAAAUGAAAUAUUUUAAAAAAUAGUUGCAGCCAUUUGUUUUCAACUGAAAGAAAAUAGUCAAGUGUUUAAAAAAUUGACUCUCAUGGUCUGUUGGUUUUAAAACAGAACGUUGAUUCCUUUUAUAUUAAGAAAAUGAAAAUGUUUUUUUUAUUUAAGGGUCAUUCAUGCUAGUUCAACCAUUCAUCUUGAUUUUAAAAAAGAUUCCAACAAAUCAUGUUUUAUUAUAUUUAAAGAAAUGACUGUUUCUAGUUAAUAUAAAAUUCUUAUUGAGAGAGUAAUCCUAACUAAGACCUACAACCAUUAUAGGUAUAUACACAAACGACAUCAAAUCAAAGAAAUACAUGAUUUGAUUUUUAUAUACAUAAAUGAUUAGCUAGAGAUAGAAUGGAACUUCUGAUAAAGAAAAAGAUUUAUAAUAUGGUAUAAGUUGAAAUGCACAAUUCAUCAAUUUGCAUUACAUGAAUAUAUUUAAUAAACCACACAAAUACACAAUGAAGACUACAUAUUGAAGAAAGAACAGAAUAUUGACACUGACCUUUUGUAUGGCAGUGAACAUUGGCGAGGUUUCAAAUCUACUCAAAUCCAACUUUACUCACAAGCAAAACAACACGAUUAACCAAAAGCAAAGCUCUCUCAAUGUUUUUGAGAUUUGGAGAGGAGAUGCUAUUCAAAAACAGUGUGAAUAAAGGAUGAGUGACAACCAAAUUUUGAAGUGUAAAAGAGUAGCUUAAAACCCUCUGGAAAUGAACUUGAAAGUGAGCUUUUAUAGUUGAAAUUAGAGUUCUUGAAUUGUUGAGCAGGAAUUUUAAUUUUCUAUUUCGAAAUUGGUCAAAGAUAACCAUUAAAGAUAAAACGUUGAGAUUUUUGGAUGUACUUGACAGUCUUCACGUGAUUGACAUAGCCAUAGCACUAAUAUAGAGUGAAAACUUCUAUCCAUAGCUAAAGAACAAUGGAGUUUUUUUUAAAGAUGGACAAAGAGAGAGAGAGAGGCUCAGACGGCUUGUGACUC
rnacentral:lncRNA from 1 species